rnacentral:lncRNA from 1 species
CCUCCAAAGAGUGUCUCAGUGUCCAUCAGUCCAUGUUGUAAACUAGUGGAGGGAGAUUCAGUGUCUCUGAGCUGCAGCAGUGAUUCAAACCCUCCUGCUCUGAACUUCAGCUGGUUUAAAGGAGGAUUGUUUGUAGGAUCUGGAAGAAUCUACACCAUCUCAAAUAUGAGCUCUGAUCACAGUGAAGAAUACAAGUGUAGAUCCAUCAAUGAACAUGGAGAGAAAUACUCUGAUGCUGUGACUUUAAACAUCAUGUGAGUCAGAUGUUUCUCGUCAGUAGCUCUAGCUGUUGCUGCUGUUGUCGGUGUUUUACUCGGUGGAGCAUCCAGUGCUUUCAUGAUGUACAUUUGAUCUGUGAUCCCACUGAAGACACAUACACAGCUCUUGAGCUCAAGUCCACGACCUCUGACCUCUACGACACACUCACAACCGUUCGUCCCAGACCUCCUGAAGACUCUUGAUCCUAAACAUGAGAAUCCAUCAGUAAGUGUCUGAACCUCAGCUCCUCUCAAGAUAAUCAAUAAAACUCUCUUCAGUUCUAGUUUGAUUGUUUCAUGAAGCUUGUGGACGGAGGACGACAAAGGAA